UACGUAGGGGGCAAGCGUUGUCCGGAUUUACUGGGCGUAAAGCGCGUGUAGGCGGCUUUGCAAGUCGGAUGUGAAAUCCCACGGCUCAACCGUGGAAGUGCAUCCGAAACUGCAUCGCUGGAGUCUCGGAGAGGAAGGUGGAAUGCUUGGUGUAGAGGUGAAAUUCGUAGAUAUCAAGCAGAACACCUGCGGCGAAGGCGGCCUUCUGGACGAUGACUGACGCUGAGACGCGAAAGCGUGGGGAGCAAACAGG
rnacentral:rRNA from 1 species